rnacentral:rRNA from 1 species
AUUGAACGCUGGCGGCAUGCCUUACACAUGCAAGUCGAACGGUAACAGGUUAAGCUGACGAGUGGCGAACGGGUGAGUAAUGUAUCGGAACGUGCCCAGUUGUGGGGGAUAACUGCUCGAAAGAGCAGCUAAUACCGCAUACGACCUGAGGGUGAAAGCGGGGGAUCGCAAGACCUCGCGCAAUUGGAGCGGCCGAUAUCAGAUUAGGUAGUUGGUGGGGUAAAGGCUCACCAAGCCGACGAUCUGUAGCUGGUCUGAGAGGACGACCAGCCCCACCGGGACUGGGACACGGCCCAGACUCCUACGGGAGGCAGCAGUGGGGAAUUUUGGACAAUGGGCGCAAGCCUGAUCCAGCCAUGCCGCGUGCGGGAAGAAGGCCUUCGGGUUGUAAACCGCUUUUGUCAGGGAAGAAACGCUCUGGGUUAAUACCCUGGGGUAAUGACGGUACCUGAAGAAUAAGCACCGGCUAACUACGUGCCAGCCGCCGCAGUAAGAC